rnacentral:rRNA from 1 species
GACGAACGCUGGCGGCGUGCCUAAUACAUGCAAGUUGAGCGCUGAAGGUUGGUACUUGUACCGACUGGAUGAGCAGCGAACGGGUGAGUAACGCGUGGGGAAUCUGCCUUUGAGCGGGGGACAACAUUUGGAAACGAAUGCUAAUACCGCAUAAAAACUUUAAACACAAGUUUUAAGUUUGAAAGAUGCAAUUGCAUCACUCAAAGAUGAUCCCGCGUUGUAUUAGCUAGUUGGUGAGGUAAAGGCUCACCAAGGCGAUGAUACAUAGCCGACCUGAGAGGGUGAUCGGCCACAUUGGGACGGAGACACGGCCCAAACGCCUACGGGAGGCAGCAGUAGGGAAUCUUCGGCAAUGGAAGAAAGUCUGACCGAGCAACGCCGCGUGAGUGAAGAAGGGUGUCGGAUCGUAAAACUCUGUUGGUAGAGAAGAACGUUGGUGAGAGUGGAAAGCUCAUCAAGUGACGGUAACUACCCAGAAAGGGACGGCUAACUACGUG